rnacentral:rRNA from 1 species
AGUGAACGCUGGCGGUAGGCCUAACACAUGCAAGUCGAACGGCAGCACAGUAAGAGCUUGCUCUUACGGGUGGCGAGUGGCGGACGGGUGAGGAAUACAUCGGAAUCUACUUUUUAGUGGGGGAUAACGUAGGGAAACUUACGCUAAUACCGCAUACGACCUACGGGUGAAAGCAGGGGAUCUUCGGACCUUGCGCGAUUGAAUGAGCCGAUGUCGGAUUAGGUAGUUGGCGGGGUAAAGGCCCACCAAGGCGACGAUCCGUAGCUGGUCUGAGAGGAUGAUCAGCCACACUGGAACUGAGACACGGUCCAGACUCCUACGGGAGGCAGCAGUGGGGAAUAUUGGACAAUGGGCGCAAGCCUGAUCCAGCCAUACCGCGUGGGUGAAGAAGGCCUUCGGGUUGUAAAGCCCUUUUGUUGGGAAAGAAAAGCAGCAGGUUAAUACCCCGCUGUUCUGACGGUACCCAAAGAAUAAGCACCGGCUAACUUCGUG